rnacentral:lncRNA from 1 species
UUUCAAUUAUGGGAGGAAAACUUAAUGGAAUCAAAUUUGAUCCAUUGGCUUCUUUUUUCCUAAGAAUCAGGAUGCGCCUCAGAUACACUGACUGCAAGGGAAUCUACUCAGAUGAGCUCAAAUACAAAUGAGCUUACUGAAAUGUCACAGGGAACUUCAUGGCUAUCAGGUGUCAGUUGUACCUGAAACUGGAAAUGUGCCAGCCUCCUCCUUGUAACUGGUCAGUAUGCAGAUGUGGUAGGGGAGAAGGGCUUUUUGGACCAUGGGGUCAAGCACAACACUGAGGGAUGGUAUAGUAAUGAGAUGAAAGGAGCCUGGACCCAAGUAACCUCACAGAGUAAAGCUCAGUAAACCAACUUGGACUGUUUUGUGAGAGAAAAUACAUGUCCGUCUUGUUCAAGCCAUUGUCGUUUUGGUUUGCUACCAUAGCAGCUGAACUUACGUCCUAAAAUCACACUCUCCAUCCAUUUGACCUCUACUGGAACCCCAUCGCUGCAUUCAGCUCUUUCCCAGACUGUGUGGUUUCCCAUAUCUUGUUUCCAGAUUACUUUCUGCAUUUUUUUCUCAGUGCAAAUUCAGCCCAGCUUCCAAUGACUAAUGACUUAGCCUUCACUUCUCAAUGUUGAUGUUUUAAGACAAGGAAGUAGAAGCACAUUUCUAGCCAGGCAUCCAGUGCCCUACCGGCUGGACUGCAAGGGCUCCUGGUGCAAGAGCUGUCCCUUUUCAGAGCUGAGGAUGAAGUAGGAUGUCUAGGAAAGAAGUGGGGAAAGGAAGGACGUGAUUAGCCACUCCAUAAGAGCAAAAGAACAAUGACCCUGGAGAACAGUGCAGACCGUUUGUGAAGCCCAUGUUGUUAGCACAAGAGAGCAAGUAGAUAUCGUCCCUGAGGACCAAGUAUGAGCCAUUCACCUUAGUUUAUCUCCUCAUUUAGUCCUCACAAAUGCCAGCGACACAGGUACUAUGCUUACCCCCAUUUAUAAGCGAGAAAAGUACAGCUUGCACAGGUGGAACAUCACGCCCAGAUUCUAAGAGGUAAAACCAAGGGUCAGCGUCAGGCAUUCUUAACCACAACCCUACAUCAUCUCUGAAAGGCUUGAAGACCUUUUUUUGAAAAAAUUUUUUAAUUCCUUUUUAGGGCCGAUGGCAUAUGGAAGUUCCUAGGCUAGGAAAUGAAUCAGAGCUGUAGUGCAAGCUUACGCCACAGCCACAGCCACACCAGAUCCGAGCUGAGCCUCGUCUGUGACCUACACCACAGCUCAUGGCAAUGCCAGAUCCUUAACUUGCUAAGCAGGGCCAGCAUCCUUAAGGAUACUAGUGGGGUUCGUUACCACUGAGCCACAAUGGGAACUCAGGCUUGAAGACUUUUAAUCCACCCAACCAGGCAGAGGAAGUCCAAGGUCCCUCAACCAGCUGCUGUACAGCAGGGUGAGAUCCUAGCCUCUUUUUUUUUUUUUUAACUUUUAAAUUAUAGUUGAUGUACACUGUUGUGCCAAUUUCUGCUGCAGCAAAGUGUCUCAGUCGUACGUAUAUAUACACAUCCCCUUUCUUAUAUUGGCUUCCGUCAUGGUCUCUCCCACGAGACUGGAUGUAGUUCCCUGUGCUGUACAGCAGGACCUCAUUGCCUAUCCAUUCGAAACAUAGUAGUGUGCAUCUACCAACCCCAAACUCCCAGUGCCUCCCACUUCCUUCCCUCUUCCCCUUUGACCUUAAGCCUCUUGACAUCUAGCUGGCGAUUUUUCUUCCAUACCUCAGUGGGUUCCCCUGAGGGUGCUUGGAGGAAUAUUUGGAAAGGUGUUUUAGCUUCAACUGACUUUCUUGCCCCAGGCACUGCCUCCAAGCCUUCAGUCACCGCUAGGGCAAUUCAAAAAUAGUUUUCAAUUGAGUCCAAGUGGUGCGAUGUGGUCGGAGGCCCUUAGCAGCACAAUCUUCAGCCUCAUUAGUUUCAAAACAUCCCCUAGAGCCUCGUUCUGAUGUCUCCUAAAUCCUCCCCAGUGUGGAAUGGACAGAUGUGCUGCCCAGUUGGCAGGCUGGGGAAAGCAUCGAAGGGCUAAUGUAGGUUCAUUUGAACUAAAUGCAUCAGUAUAUCCCCACAGUGAUGGUUUUCAGCUUGGGAAAUGAUUAUCUAAUUAGUGUAAUAUCCAUUACUAGAAAUCAAGGGCUUCGACCUAGGAUUCUCUUCUCUUGCUGCCAGACCUCCUGGGGUGACAAUGCCGAGAGAAGGCAGGAUGCCACAAUCCCAGCUGUGCCCCAUCUGGUGGCAGGGAACUCUUCCCAAAAUAAACAAGGUGGAGCCUUUCUGGCAAUGCCAGUGGCUCACAGGUACAUGCCCAAGUCCACCCCUCUCAACCAGUUGAUGUCAAGGUUGGUUGACAUGUGUGGAGGGUGAGACGUGAGGUUCCCGUGAAGGAUCUGAGGUGGCAAUGGCUUAUGAUGGCCUGGACUAAUAUGGACUUGGGACUUCAUUUCCUUCAAAGUAAAAGACCAAGAAGUGGGUCAAGCAAGCCAGAGCUUUAAGGACACACUGAAAAGAGCAAGGAACUGGGGCUCCAUGAAUGAAUCAAAAAGAAAGUCAAUUAAGGAGUUCCCGUUGUGGUGCAGUGGAAACAAAUCCAACUAGGAACCAUCAGGUUGUGGGUUCAAUCGCGGGCUUCACUCGGUGGGUUAAGGAUCUGGCGUUGCCAUGAGCUGUGGUGUAGGUCACAGACACGGCUCGGAUCUGGUGUUGCUAUGGCUGUGGCAUCGGUUGGCAGCUGCAGCUCUGAUUCGACUCCUAGCCUGGAAACCUCCAUAUGCCAUGGGUGCAGCCCUAAAAAGCAAAAAAAGAAAAAGAAAAGAAAGUCAAUUAACCAGUAAACUAAGAAGAGUAGCCUAUUUUGUUGAUCAGGUCCUGUGGGCAGCCCAAGCACUUUUCAUGGGUCAUCUCAUUUAAAUUUUGUGACAACCCUGUGACCUACUAUCAUUGCUUCCACUUUGCAAAUGGGGAAACUCUUUGGAUUCCAGGUCCUGAGACGUUUCCAACACCAAGGGCUGGACAUGGUGAUGCCACGUGUCAAAUCUCAGCAGAGCAUAUUUGUGGAAAAUUAGAAAUUCCAUGUGCCUUUGAAUAUCCCUCUUCAACAAGAGACUUCUCCUUUUAUCUAUGUGCCAAGUUUAAAUAGCCCCCCAACCAACACAUAUGUACACAAAAUGCCAUAUUUUAAAAAAUGAAAUUGAAAAAGAAAUCAAAUCAGACCCUUCUCUUCAGUUCUCAAAAAACGAAUCUAAUAUCUAACACUGGAGGACUCCCUCCCACACCACUAGGUUUAUACCAGAGACCCUAAGGUUUCCUCAGCCCAUAAAAAUGGGAGGAGGAGUUCCCAUCGUGGCUCAGUGGUUAACAAAUCCAACUGGGAACCAUGAGGUUGCGGGUUCGAUCCCUGGCCUUUCUCAGUGGGUUAAGGAUCCAGCGUUGCCAUGAACUGUGGUGUAUGUUGUAGAUGCGGCUCGGAUAUGACGUUGCUUGUGGCUGUGGUGUAGGCCAGUGGCUACAGCUCCAAUUAGACCCCUAGCCUGGGAACUUCCAUAUGCCACAGGAGUGGCCCUAAAAAAGGCACACACAAAAAAAAAUGGGGGGAAACUGGCUCUACUUCCGGAUCCCUGUGUGUCUCCACCCAUGCUAGCCAUUUGUGGAAACAGGGCCCAGGCAUUUCUACUCCAGGAAAAUGCAAAACCAGGCCCCUUCCAAGCUCAGGGCCACUCCAGACCCCUCUCCAAAGCUCAGGAAUAAACCACCCUCCUCCUAUGACAAGAAAACGAGCUUAAUCAGGAAACACAAGAGCAAGAGAGCACCCAACUUGGAACUCAAAGCCUGGCUGCUCAUCCUAUUGGACAAAUCCCUUUCACGCUUACCGAGUAUCCUCAGCAACCAAAGAAGCCAGACCCCAAUUAAUUUUUCAAAUGCUCACCCUGUUACCUACGUUUUACCCAUGGGGGGAGAGGUUUUGAGCCACGUUCCAUCGUUAAAAAUAAAAUGGCUGAAACAACUGGGAACUGUCUGCAUUUCACAGAUGAGAGACCAAGGGUUUCCCCAAGAUUUCUGAGCUCCUAGAGGGGCUCAUCAGAGUUUCCAGUGUUGCCCCACUUUGAUUUCAAAAGCCCAGCAAUUGCUAGAUCUUGAUUUAAACAUCAGUCCCAGUGAAGGAAACCAAGGCUCCUUUGAAAAAUGUCUGCUCCGCAGGCUGGGACGGAACCAAUAUGAGAUGGGUCUCCAACAUCGAGUUGUGUCUUAAAAAGUAAAUACGUGCUAAAAAAAAAAAAAAAAAAAAAAAAAAAAAA